CUGAAGAAGUGGACAGAAGAGAGGUAUGGAAGGGAUACUGGAAGUGGACAGGGUGGGAUUGAGGAGGUAGAGUAGGACCAAGGGAAAGAUGAACACACACACACACACACACACAGAGGCCUGAAAGGGACAAGGAAAGCACCCUGAGGGUCAGCUGGACUGGGUGGCUGGAAUUUAGAGUGCAAGGCAAGGUGGGGGUAGGAGAAGGAAUUGCGUGGUGUCGAGUUUAUGUGGCAGGUGAAGGGAGCCAUUGAGUGUACUUGGCAGGGAGGGUAGCACACAAUCAGAUCCGUGUUCCAGCUGCCCUGACUGCUGUGUGGAAGACGGGGCUGAGCACACUUGGGGCAGCUCCUCCUACCUCAGAAGCCCUUGCUCUCCCAGCUCCCCGGAAAUGCAGUGGUGACAUCACAAGCCUGCUUCCCACACGCCAUGGACAACACCGUCAUCUGGACACAUCGUCCUCUGUGGUUGGCCAUUUCUGUUGUUGAGAGCAACUUUGCUCUUACUUCAUAGCCUUCGUGGAGGAAUGUGAGCACUGUGGACAGACCUGAUCCCCAAGCUUUGCCAUUCUUCCCAGCCGUCCUCCACAGAGGUGUGGGCAGGGGCUCACUCCGAUGCUCCCAUAUCUAUGAAAUGCUCUACUGAAUGAGGGUCCUCAACAAGCUCAUGGAAUCAUGGAAUUAAAACAUACUGCAAUUUGGCCCAGGAGAACCAAACUGCUAUGUGGUAAAAAAUCUUGUGCCAAGCCCUGUGCUACAUACUGGGUGUACAAAGCCCUGCCUUCCAGCCAGCUUUGCUAACCAGUAUUUCGAGGUGCUGAGAACUACAAAGACACGUGGACUGACAUUUCUUCAACCUGUGAAGAAGUGGAUAAAGGGUUUUAAUUAAGCUUCCAAGAGAGCUGCCUUGAAACAAUGAAUGAGAACAAUUUACAGUUCUCUCAACCUCCUGUUUCUCAUCUGUCUGAGUGAGUUGUGCAGAGUUAAGGAUAUUUUCGUGUAGAAGAAGAUGAGAUAUUUGGGGCUUGUUUACUUUUAAUCUUGGUUUCUAAACAUGGAAGCUUUUCCAGCAAAUCCAAUUAGAUGGUCCCCAUCACCCAGACUGGUAGAGACCAUCGAGUUGGUAAUAAAAUGUCCAGCCAGUUCAACAUGUUGAUGUGCUUUCAAGCCCAGAGGAAGGGUCUUCUCGAUCCAGGGCCUUAACAACACCUACCCAGGAAGGCCAAGGGCCCUGGCUCCGCAAGCCGGAUCUCAAGGUAUCUACAGGCCUUGAAGUCUGCCCUCUGGGGCUCCUGUUAAAUUCUUUACACUAGUAGAAAUUGUGUAGAGAUUUUGCUUUUUGACACAGAGAUGUGUCAUUGCUGGGAGAAGCAGGACCUUUUCUUUCCUCCGUCUGUGCUGUAAGGCAAAUUCUGAUGGGACAUAAAAACCCUCCAAACAUACAUCUUCCCCACCGGGAUGAAGAGUUCAAGAUGGCAGGCGGGACUGGCUGCACAAUGUACCAACCCACUUCUCAGGAGGAUGGCAACGCAGGACUCCUUAUGAAAAAGUGAGGGAGGCUUUCAAAAAGGCUGGAGCCCAGCAUGACACCAAGUGAGGGUCCUGUAGCGAGGGCAGAUGACAGAGCCGCCCUGCGGGUGCGUGGACCAAUGAAAAUGCUCCCUGGACUGGGCUCUGGGCAGGGUGUGGACCAAUGAAAAUGCUCCCUGGACUGGGCUCUGGGAGCCCAGGUUCUCCGUUUCUUCAUUAGAUGUUCACAUCAGGGGCCAGCACUGUGGCACAGCAGGUUAACGCCCUGGCCUGAAGCGCCGGCAUCUCAUAUGGCCGCUGGUUUGAGACCCAGCAGCUCCACUUCCAAUUCAGCUCUCUGCUGUGGCCUGGGAAAGCAGUAGAAGAUGGCCCAAGUCGUUGGGACCCUGUACUCACGUGGGAGACCCAGAAGAAGUUCCUGGCUCCUGGCUUCAGAUCAGCUCAGCUCUGACUGUUGCGGCCAUUUGGGGAAUGAACCUUUGGAUGAAAGACCUCUCUCCCUCUCUCUCUGCCUCACCUCUCUCUGUGUAACUCUUUCAAAUAAAUAAUAAAUCUUUAAAAAAAAAAAAAAAGAAGCUCACAUCAUGGUCACCCCUUCGAUAUGAAAGCUCCAUGCGUCUGAAACCUAGUUGUGUCCUACACUUGGGUCCAAAUGACCACAGUGGCAGCACAGAGCAGCCACCAGGCACCUGCCCGGCAGCUGUCUGCAUCUCCAUCGAUCAGGAGGUUUGGGCUGCUGCCUGGCCCUGUGAGCUGGUGACAUCAGCCCAGCCGUCCCUUCUCCUGUGACUACAAAGAGCACUUAUCAGGGCAAAGCGCACCCGUUAGCAAAGAUUCCGUAUCUCCAAAUAAA